CCUACGGGUGGCAGCAGUGAGGAAUAUUGGACAAUGGACGCAAGUCUGAACCAGCCAUGCCGCGUGCAGGAAGACGGCUCUAUGAGUUGUAAACUGCUUUUGUACGGGGGUAAAUUCAGAUACGCGUAUCUUUCUGCACGUAUCGUACGAAUAAGGAUCGGCUAACUCCGUGCCAGCAGCCGCGGUAAUACGGAGGAUUCGAGCGUUAUCUGGUUUGAUGGGUUUAAAGGGUGCGUAGGCGGUCGGCUAAGUUAGAGGUGAAAUCCCGGGGCCUAACUUCGGAAUUGCCUCUGAUACUGUUAGGCUAGAGAGUAGUUGCGGUAGGCGGAAUGUAUGGUGUAGCGGUGAAAUGCUUAGAGAUCAUGCAGAACACCGAUGGCGAAGGCAGCUUACCAAGCUACUUCUGACGUUGAGGCACGAAAGCGUGGGGAGCAAACAGGAUUAGAUACCCCUGUAGUC
rnacentral:rRNA from 1 species